rnacentral:rRNA from 1 species
AUUCAACGGCCGCGGUAUUCUAACCGUGCAAAGGUAGCGUAAUCAUUUGUCUUCCAAAUAAAGACCAGUAUGAACGGCUAAAUGAGGAUAAGACUGUCUCCUAUAACCCAUCAGUAAAACUGAUCUUCCAGUCCAAAAGCUGGAAUAAACACAUAAGACGAGAAGACCCUGUGGAGCUUUAAACCCACUACUACAAAUAAAUUUUACUAGUACAAAGUUUUAAGUUGGGGCGACUUCGGAACAAAACAAAACUUCCGAGCAAAGAACCACCAAUUCUAACCAAGGCAAACAGGCCAAAGCACAAAACUGACCCAGUCUAACUGAUCCAUGAACCAAGUUACCCCAGGGAUAACAGCGCUAUCUUCUUCAAGAGUCCAUAUCGACAAGAAGGUUUACGACCUCGAUGUUGGAUCAGGACACCCAAAUGGUGCAGCCGCUAUUAAAGGUUCGUUUGUUCAACGAUUAAC